rnacentral:tRNA from 1 species
GUUAGUGUAAUUUAUUC